GGGUCAGUAGGUUGGUCGUGCCACCGGUACGUACUGGUCUCACUGAUUCCUCCUUCCUGAAGAACCGUAAUGCCAUUAAUUUGGUGUUGCGGGGAAACAGGACUGUUACUUAGAAAAAAUUAGAGUGUUUAAAGCAAGCUAACGCUUGAAUACAUUAGCAUGGAAUAAUGAAAUAGGACGAUCGAUCCUAUUUUGUUGGUUUCUAGAAUUGACGUA
rnacentral:rRNA from 1 species